UACGUAGGGUCCGAGCGUUGUCCGGAGUGACUGGGCGUAAAGCGCGCGCAGGCGGCCCGCGAGGUGUCACGUGAAAGCCCCGUGCUUAACGCGGGUAGGGUCGUGGCAAACCGGCGGCUUGAGGCCGGGUAGAGGUGGGUGGAACUCCUGGUGGAGUGGUGAAAUGCGUAGAGAUCAGGAAGAACACCCGUGGCGGAAGGCGGCUUCCCUGGACCGACACU
rnacentral:rRNA from 1 species